AACGCUGGCGGCGUGCUUAACACAUGCAAGUCGAACGAUGAAGCCCAGCUUGCUGGGUGGAUUAGUGGCGAACGGGUGAGUAACACGUGAGUAACCUGCCCUUGACUCUGGGAUAAGCCUGGGAAACUGGGGUCUAAUACUGGAUAUGACUUCUCAUCGCAUGGUGGGGGUGGAAAGAUUUAUUGGUCUUGGAUGGACUCGCGGCCUAUCAGCUUGUUGGUGAGGUAAUGGCUCACCAAGGCGACGACGGGUAGCCGGCCUGAGAGGGUGACCGGCCACACUGGGACUGAGACACGGCCCAGACUCCUACGGGAGGCAGCAGUGGGGAAUAUUGCACAAUGGGCGCAAGCCUGAUGCAGCGACGCCGCGUGAGGGAUGACGGCCUUCGGGUUGUAAACCUCUUUCAGUAGGGAAGAAGCGAGAGUGACGGUACCUGCAGAAGAAGCGCCGGCUAACUACGUG
rnacentral:rRNA from 1 species